rnacentral:sRNA from 1 species
AAUUUUUAGUAAAGUUCAAUUUUAAUAUUUUUACUACAUCAAAAACUGUUUUUUUGUUGUUUUUU